rnacentral:tRNA from 1 species
GCCGAGGUGGUGGAAUUGGUAGACACGCUAUCUUGAGGGGGUAGUGUCCUUUCGGACGUGCGGGUUCAAGUCCCGCUCUCGGCACCA